UUGAAGUUGGGGCUGUUUGAGAAAGUCUACUAUGUAACACUUUCACUAUAUCAUUAAUAACCAGUCAAUCACAUUCCUAUUUUUUACUGUAAAUAUAAUAAAAAUAUUUUUCUAAUAACAAUAAUAAAAUGGGUGAACCCUCCAGGAAAAAAAAUAAAUCUUAUUAAUUGAGUACAUCAAUAAUCAGCAAUAUAACUAACGUAUU
rnacentral:lncRNA from 1 species